UAGUCUCGGGAAUCUUUCAAGGCCACCAUGCGAAUGUUCGCAACACCGUAAUUCUAUCAUUUAUGAGGACGUAACUUUUCAGAUUUUAUUCCAGACAACUAUAAAGAAAGUGAUGAGAAUUUUAUGUGUUUUUCAACAUUUGAUUGCGGUAAGCUAAGAAGAUUAAUGGUCUCAACAUUGAAGCGCCGUUACAAAGAAGACGGCGUCAAGGACGACUCCUUGGCCCGUUCCCCUUCGUCCUCAAGGACCCCUCGGCCUCUUGUUACGUGUCAAUAAAUACUGUUGUGUCGUUCGAAGCAAGAAGUUGCCAUGGAUACUUAACUAAAAGAGUGGGGGCCAAGUUUUUUUCGGGAUCUUUCCCUGGCCAGAGUUCAUUGACGGGUGCCCAUCCCAGUGGCUUGAUUGCAGCAAUAAGUAGGUGAGGAACCAAGAAGACUGUUGGAGUCGUCAGGAGUUACCUCUUGAAUCCACGAUGAAAGCAAUGCAGGUGAAUCUGAAGUGGAAGAACUAUCAGAGUGUAUACAGCCAAUACCUGCAAGAAUAUUGUAAUCAG